AGAGUUUGAUCCUGGCUCAGGACGAACGCUGGCGGCGCGCCUAACACAUGCAAGUCGAGCGAUGAAGACAUAACAGACACCUUCGGGAAGAAGUUAAGUCGGAUUAGCGGCGGACGGGUGAGUAACACGUGAGUAACCUGCCUUUGACACGGGGAUAGCCACCGGAAACGGUGAUUAAUACCCGAUGAAAUCGUAAUGACACAUGUCAUAACGAUCAAAGUGAAUUAGCGGUCAAAGAUGGACUCGCGUCUGAUUAAUUAGUUGGUGAGGUAACGGCUCACCAAGAUAGCGAUCAGUAGCCGGCCUGAGAGGGUGAACGGCCACAUUGGAACUGAGAAACGGUCCAAACUCCUACGGGAGGCAGCAGUGGGGAAUAUUGCACAAUGGGGGAAACCCUGAUGCAGCGACGCCGCGUGAGCGAAGAAGGAUUUCGAUUCGUAAAGCUCUGUCCUAUGGGAAGAUAAUGACGGUACCAU
rnacentral:rRNA from 1 species